CCUACGGGUGGCAGCAGUGGGGAAUAUUGCACAAUGGGGGGAACCCUGAUGCAGCAACGCCGCGUGGGUGAAGAAGUACUCCGGUAUGUAAAGCCCUGUCAGCAGGGAAGAAAAUGACGGUACCUGACCAAGAAGCCCCGGCUAACUACGUGCCAGCAGCCGCGGUAAUACGUAGGGGGCAAGCGUUAUCCGGAUUUACUGGGUGUAAAGGGAGCGUAGACGGCAAGGCAAGUCUGGAGUGAAAGCCCGGGGCCCAACCACGGGACUGCUUUGGAAACUGUGUUGCUGGAGUGCAGGAGGGGUAAGCGGAAUUCCUGGUGUAGCGGUGAAAUGCAUAGAUAUCACACAGAACACCGAUUGCGAAGGCAUCUCACGAAUCCGCGAUUGACGCUGAUGCACGAAAGCGUGGGUAUCAAACAGGAUUAGAUACCCCUGUAGUC
rnacentral:rRNA from 1 species